rnacentral:lncRNA from 1 species
AUCACACUGGGCUCCCUCCGCCUGGACUGCCCAGCAGCUGUGGUUGAUGACAAUGAGAAAAACUUGUCCCUUGGUCUACAGACUCUCCGAUCUCUGAAGUGCAUCAUAAACUUGGAUAAGCACCGGCUGAUCAUGGGGAAGACAGACAAGGAAGAAAUCCCUUUUGUGGAGACAGUCUCUUUGAAUGAAGACAAGUGAGUGCCCAAAUGGGUCAGAUCAAGUCACAUCCAUUUGUCAUCAGCUGCGAGCAGGGUGGUGGUGGUUCUCAGACAGGACAUGGGGUUGUAUCCUGUCUUUGGCUUUCAAUUAUACUACAAAUCCACCCUUCCCCACACCCAGAGUUCAUCACCCCACAAAACUCUGUAGUGCACACAUCAGAAUGAGCAAUGGUGAUGCCACACAGAGUGGUAGGGAAAUGACUAGCUUUGAAAGCAAAAUUUUACUUGCCUUCAGCUUAACUUUUUUUGAAUUUGGCAUUAUUUCUCCUGAUAUUUAUUUCUCAUUUCAGCACUUCAGAAGCAUAACUACAGCCUGCAGCAUGUCUGCACGUG